rnacentral:tRNA from 1 species
UGUCCAGGGAUGGGAAUCGAACCCACAGUGUUCCGCUUACUGGGCAGAUGCCAUGUCCACUAGGCUACCCUGUAC